AUGGUAGAUGGUGGGAUUGCGCAGGACCGUGGUGUAGGAGCAGCUGCAGCAGUAUGCAGAGACCAACAGGGUCUGUACUUGGGAUCCUCAUGGCUGGUCAUUCCGGGAGUUUUAGACCCGACAGUUUUGGAAGCCAUUGCCUGUCGCGAGGCGCUAGCGUUGGCCGAAGACCUAUCUCUCCAGAACUUCGUGGUGGCUUGUGAUUACAAACAGGUGGUAGAGGAUAUUAAAGGAGGGACUGGCGGAGCUUACUUAUCGGUCAUCAGAGAAAUCUCCCAAAGGAGCCCCGUUUUUAAUAGCUGUAGCUUUAUUUUUGAAAGCAGAGCUUCAAAUAGCGAUGCUCACAGUCUUGCUAAACACUCAUUUUUGCUUGAUCGGGCUCGCCAUUUGUGGCUUUUAUCUCCUUAUGGCCCGGCAUGUAUUCCUCUUAAUGCUACCAUAGAUCAAUAA
rnacentral:rRNA from 1 species